rnacentral:lncRNA from 1 species
UACAUAUGCUUCCACUAGAGACUUUUCAGGCCUUGCUUUAUUGCGCACAUACUUUUUUAAUGUACACAAAAAUUUAUAAAUAAAAAUAAAUUUAAAUUUUAGAAAUAUAUUUAUAUCUUAUAAUUAAUAUGAUAAAGUAUGUAUAAUUUUUUUAUCUUUUAAUAGGAUACAUCCAUCGAUAAUGUAUCGGUCUGAUCAAAAGAGCUUCCUUUGAAAGAUGAACAGCC